rnacentral:lncRNA from 1 species
UUCGGAUUUCUUUCGGUGUCGCUAGGUAAUGUUCCUUGUGGUCUAUUAUUCAAUGCCAAUGCAAUUUGACCUAUCUAAUUCUCUAUAUUUUUUAGCUUGAUUCUUCAUAGCCAAAUCGUUGCUAGUCAUGUACCUUGCCCAUGAUUCCUCCCCAUCGGAUUUCCUGUCCUGCUGUUGAAUCUGUUGUGGAUGACUAUGAAAACCAGGGGGAUAUGAUGGUCGUGGAGCUUGAGUUUGCUGAU